AUUGAACGCUGGCGGCAUGCUUUACACAUGCAAGUCGAGCGGCAGCGCGUCCCCGUAAGGGGAUGGCGGCGAGCGGCGAACGGGUGAGUAAUGCAUCGGAACGUGUCCCGUAGAGGGGGAUAGCCCGGCGAAAGCCGGAUUAAUACCGCAUAUGCUCUACGGAGGAAAGCGGGGGACUCGCAAGGGCCUCGCGCUAUGGGAGCGGCCGAUGUCCGAUUAGCUUGNGGCGGGGUAAUGGCCCACCAAGGCGACGAUCAGUAGCUGGUCUGAGAGGAUGAUCAGCCACACUGGGACUGAGACACGGCCCAGACUCCUACGGGAGGCAGCAGUGGGGAAUUUUGGACAAUGGGGGAAACCCUGAUCCAGCCAUGCCGCGUGAGUGAAGAAGGCCUGG
rnacentral:rRNA from 1 species